CCUACGGGAGGCAGCAGUGAGGAAUAUUGGUCAAUGGUCGGGAGACUGAACCAGCCAAGCCGCGUGAGGGAUGAAGGUACAGAGUAUCGUAAACCUCUUUUGUCAGGGAACAAAGGCGGGGACGUGUCCCCGGAUGAGUGUACCUGAAGAAAAAGCAUCGGCUAACUCCGUGCCAGCAGCCGCGGUAAUACGGAGGAUGCGAGCGUUACUCGGAAUCACUGGGCGUAAAGAGCGCGUAGGCGGGUUAGCAAGUCAGAUGUGAAAUCCUAUGGCUCAACCGUAAAAUUGCAAUUGAUACUGGCAGUCUUGAGUACAGUUGAGGUAGGCGGAAUUCGUGGUGUAGCGGUGAAAUGCUUAGAUAUCACGAAGAACUCCGAUUGCGAAGGCAGCUUACUAAACUGCCACUGACAUUGAUGCUCGAAAGUGUGGGUAUCAAACAGGAUUAGAUACCCCUGUAGUC
rnacentral:rRNA from 1 species